ensembl:snRNA U1 U1 spliceosomal RNA
AUACUUACCUGGCAGGGGAGAUACCAUGAUCACGAAGGUGGUUUUCCCAGGGUGAGGCAUAUCCAUUUCACUCCGGAUGUGCUGACCCCUGUGAUUUCCCCAAAUGUGAGAAACUCGAUGGCAUAAGUUGUGGUAGUAAGGGACUGUGUUCAUGCUUUCCCCUG